rnacentral:rRNA from 1 species
AGCCUACGGGGCGCAGCAGUGGGGAAUCUUCCGCAAUGGGCGCAAGCCUGACGGAGCAAUGCCGCGUGAGUGAUGACGGCCUUCGGGUUGUAAAGCUCUGUCUUCAGGGACGAUAAUGACGGUACCUGAGGAGGAAGCCACGGCUAACUACGUGCCAGCAGCCGCGGUAAUACGUAGGUGGCGAGCGUUGUCCGGAUUUACUGGGCGUAAAGGGAGCGUAGGCGGACUUUUAAGUGAGAUGUGAAAUACUCGGGCUCAACUUGAGUGCUGCAUUUCAAACUGGAAGUCUAGAGUGCAGGAGAGGG